UACGUAGGGGGCUAGCGUUGUCCGGAAUCAUUGGGCGUAAAGCGCGCGUAGGCGGUCAGGUAAGUCCGGUGUGAAAGUCAAAGGCUCAACCUUUGAAUGCCGCUGGAUACUGCCUGACUUGAAUCCGGGAGAGGUGAGUGGAAUUCCGAGUGUAGAGGUGAAAUUCGUAGAUAUUCGGAAGAACACCAGUGGCGAAGGCGGCUCACUGGACCGGUAUUGACGCUGAGGUGCGAAAGCCAGGGGAGCAAACGGG
rnacentral:rRNA from 1 species